AUGCCUAACCCAAUGCUCGGAGUUGUUCAGCAAGGUCAGCUGCUCCCUGCCCGGUCCUGCAGCCCUGGCACCGGGAGGGCAACCCUCCGUCCCGGUAGAGCCUGGCUCCCUACUCUCUUGGGAUCAGAAGGGGUUCAGAUUUUGGAUUCCCCCCCCCAGAUUUUUGGAAUAUUUGCAUCUACACAUGAAGUACUCAGGGAGCGGAAUUCACAUCUGUGCACGAAAUUUUGUACACGCCUGGUGCACGUAGCCUGGAGGCAGCUGCACGCGAUGUUUUUAGUCCCGCCGUGCGCUCUGCCUGUGACCCGUGAUGCAGACUCGUCUGGGAUGGUCUGCGGGCGCUGUUGUGCCGGCGCUCGGCCGUUUGGGCUUUGGGAGCAUUUCGGAUUUUGGACUUUGGCAGUCGGGGUGCUCAGCCUGUGGGCGGAGGCACGAGCUUGGUCUGCAUGGGGACUGAGUGGGCCGGGCCGCUGCGACAGUACAGAGCAGGGCGCGGCUCCCGGCCUCCGCCCCAGCGCCCAGCAGAGCCCCCGGCGACCUCCAGAGGACCUUGCCCACGCCGGGGACGUGCUGCCUCUGAGUCAGGCCGUCCCGCUUUGGACUGCCCUAAGAAAAUUCUUCCUCCUGUUCUGCCAAAAUCCGCCUCCCCACAGCGCCCACUCUCUGGCCCCGGCUCCGCCAGAAGGCAAAUGUCAAAAAAAUAAUCUUGAAAGAGAAGACGCAGCAUGUGAAAAGCGUGAUGGAAUCCGGGCGAGGAGGCGCAGGCUCCCUGCUGGCGGCUCUCGGCCCAGAGCCGAGGUCAGGGCUCCCGUGGAAUCAGAACCGAGGGCUCUCAGCCCUCGUCCUCUCCCUUCUCCGUGCUGCCGGACACGGCCCUGGCGCGCAGGUGACAGCCCCAGGCCUGCGGGCCCUGACCCCCCUCCACCCACCCCCCAGCCCGACGACGUGCUCUCUGGCCCGGAGCCCCUGUGCAGCUGGGGGACGUGGCCAUGCAGGGCUCUUGUGUGCAGAACCUGGCCGGCGUCCCCUCCCUGGCACCCGUGCCUGGAGCUGGCACGUGCCUCACGGAGGAGGAAGGCAGGUGUCUGUCUUUAG
rnacentral:lncRNA from 1 species